UCGAAGACUGCACACUGGAUACGAUUUGUACCGACUCUUGGCUAGGUUUUCGAGAAACUACUUUGAGUCGGUACGAAUCCUUUCCUCUCUGCAUAAACUCCACGG
rnacentral:pre_miRNA from 1 species